rnacentral:rRNA from 1 species
GAAUAUUGGACAAUGGGCGCAAGCCUGAUCCAGCCAUGCCGCGUGAGUGAUGAAGGCCUUAGGGUUGUAAAGCUCUUUCAACGGUGAAGAUAAUGACGGUAACCGUAGAAGAAGCCCCGGCUAACUUCGUGCCAGCAGCCGCGGUAAUACGAAGGGGGCUAGCGUUGUUCGGAAUUACUGGGCGUAAAGCGCACGUAGGCGGACAUUUAAGUCAGGGGUGAAAUCCCGGAGCUCAACUCCGGAACUGCCUUUGAUACUGGGUGUCUUGAGUAUGGAAGAGGUUAGUGGAAUUGCGAGUGUAGAGGUGAAAUUCGUAGAUAUUCGCAGGAACACCAGUGGCGAAGGCGGCUAACUGGUCCAUAACUGACGCUGAGGUGCGAAAGCGUGGGGAGCAAACAG